rnacentral:rRNA from 1 species
UACGUAGGGGGCAAGCGUUGUCCGGAUUUACUGGGCGUAAAGAGCGCGCAGGCGGUCGGAUAAGUCGAAUGUGAAAGCCCCCGGCUCAACUGGGGAGGGUCAUUCGAUACUGUUCGACUCGAAGGCAGGAGAGGGAAGUGGAAUUCCCGGUGUAGUGGUGAAAUGCGCAGAUAUCGGGAAGAACACCCGUGGCGAAGGCGGUUCUCUGGGACGGUACUGACGCUGAGACGCGAAAGCGUGGGGAGCGAACAGG